AGUUUGCUGUUUUUUUAUAGUAAAUAACUUCUGCCCGAUGUAAAUAUGAAUGGCCGCGGUAUUUUGACCGUGCAAAGGUAGCAUAAUCAUUUGCCCUUUAAUUGGGGGCUGGAAUGAAAGAAGAUUUGAGGUUCAACCUGUCUCUUUUCUGUGUUAGAAUUUUCUGUUUUUGUGAAUAAGCGAAGUUGAUUAAAAAAGACAAGAAGACCCUUUUAAGCUUUAUUUUUGUUUUUUUCCUUUUUUCUUUUUAGAAUCUUGGGGGGGGGAAAAAAAAUAAAAUUUGGUUGGGGCGACUAAAGAAGAAAAAAUCUUCUUUUUUUGGAAGAACUUUGGGUUUAAUUUUGACCCGGGAUGUGCCGGUUGAAGGAAUUAGUUACUAAAGGGAUAACAGCGUAAUCUUUUCAAAGAGUUCUUAUUGAAGAAAAGGAUUGCGACCUCGAUGUUGACUUGCUUUUUCCUCUAAAGGUGCAGAAGCUAAGAGGGUUGGUCUGUUCGACCAUUAAAAUGGUACGUGAGUUGAGUUCAGACCGGCGUGA
rnacentral:rRNA from 1 species